UGCCCACCAACUCCUAUCCCUCCUUCCUACGUGGUACUGGCAGGGGUACAAGUAACCUUAAGGAAGAUUGGGUAUCCAAACCCGGUGGGAUGGUUGGUCGUAUGCUGACAGGGAAGG
rnacentral:ribozyme from 1 species